rnacentral:rRNA from 10 species
GCUUAUGGCCAUCCUACCCUGAAACGCUGACGCUAAGCAGGGUGGGUCCUGGUCAGUGCUUGGAUGAGAGGCCAUCUGGGAUUACCACGUGCUGUAAGCA